rnacentral:rRNA from 1 species
UGUGAACGUUACCAAUCUGUUGCCUCGGCGGGAUUCUCUGCCCCGGGCGCGUCGCAGCCCCGGAUCCCAUGGCGCCCGCCGGAGGACCAACUCAAACUCUUUUUUCUCUCCGUCGCGGCCUACGUCGCGGCUCUGUUUUAUUUUUGCUCUGAGCCUUUCUCGGCGACCCUAGCGGGCGUCUCGAAAAUGAAUCAAAACUUUCAACAACGGAUCUCUUGGUUCUGGCAUCGAUGAAGAACGCAGCGAAAUGCGAUAAGUAAUGUGAAUUGCAGAAUUCAGUGAAUCAUCGAAUCUUUGAACGCACAUUGCGCCCGCCAGUAUUCUGGCGGGCAUGCCUGUCCGAGCGUCAUUUCAACCCUCGAACCCCUCCGGGGGGUCGGCGUUGGGGAUCGGCCCCUCACCGGGCCGCCCCCGAAAUACAGUGGCGGUCUCGCCGCAGCCUCUCCUGCGCAGUAGUUUGCACACUCGCACCGGGAGCGCGGCGCGGCCACAGCCGUAAAACACCCCAAACUCUGAAAUGUUGACCUCGGAUCAGGUAGGAAUACCCGCUGAACUUAAGCAUAUCAAUAA